AUUUUAGUUUGAUUUCCAUAAGACUAACGCUAAGAUAUAACUCCUACAUAUAACCACCUACUUAGUUGUUAUCUAUAUUAAGCAAAACUAACCUAUAAAAAUGUUAAAGAAAUAAUAAAUUGAGGGAGGCAAGUUUGCCUAAUGUAAAUCCGCCCAUGGGACUCCUUCAUACAUAUUCUGUCCAACAAUUCGUAGAGACGGUGAUAGGCAGCCUAACCCAAGUCAUCAAAGAAAUAUAUAAGGUUAGAGCAAGGAAAAUCCCAAGCCUGUGGCCUGCAUUGGAGGACCCUAUUUCACUGGACCAUACAAUCUUAAAGCCCUUUUUGAAUUGUAGUUUGAUUUCCAUAAAGACGAUGCUCAUAUGUAACUCCCAUAUAUUACUUUGUGCUGUUUAUCCCCCCCCCCC